UUCGGGUCGGGUUAUUCCUGUCCAAGUGGAAAGAGGGCGGGCUCUGCCGGCUCCAGAACCUAUGUGUGUUUGGCUGGACUUGGAGUAGCUCAUCUUUCCAUUGGCGAAGGUCUCCGCCCGUCACCACGGAGUCGCGACCUCCGUAUUCCUUUUCUCCAGUGAAACCUUCAGUAGCCCGAGGGCGAAAGCGGGAGUGGGCGGGAGGGGUGAGUGCGCACGCACCUCCACGCACCCCCCCCACCAACUCCCGCCAUGGGAGGCCUGCGGUUGCCUAGGCGACAAAACUUUUUUGACAACCUUGCCCAGAUGGGACCGCCCCCCAGCUCUGAGACACUUUACCGCCACCCCCAGAUAAGACGCCAGAGAAAGGGAGCCUGCAAGCAGAAAGGACGGUGCUUAGCUGUCUGGAAAAGUCCUAUUGGCAUGACUGAAUCUUGAGAUUACAACUUCCAUUCAUGGGUGUAUAUCCUAGAGAAGCUCUCACAAACGUGAACGAAAAGAUAAGCACAAGAAUGCUCGCGACAGCAGUGUCUGUAACGACGAAAAACUGGAACCGGUCUUAAACGUCCACCACAUGAAGAAUGGAUCCAUGGAUUGUGGCAUUCAUAGGAGGGACAGGAUGCUGCUAUACAGCGGUGAAAGAGGCUGCACGAGCCACUCCAUACAGCAAACUAGACAACUUACAUCGUAUGCUUCUAGUUGUAGAAUGCAGCAAGUUUUAAAACAUAGAAAACAAAGACUGUGUGGAUACAUGCAAAUGUGCACAAAUAUGCAAGUGUGUGAUAGGGGUCUGACAAGGGUGGGGGAUGCUAGUGGUGACCCCUCAGGGGUCGGGCAGAAGGCAUGCAAUCAGGAAAAUGACAUUGUUACUUGCCCUUUUUAUUUUUUUAAGCUGGGAAGCAGAAACUUCACUAUAUUCACUAUCUGUUCUUUUUCUACAUGUCAGAAAUGUUUCAUCAUACAGCUGAAUGUUUGACCCACUAAAACUACUUCCAGGCUUUUAUUCUAAAGAAAUCACUGGAGAAGUGUUAAAAUAUUUAUAUAUAAAGAUGUGUGUCUUAGCAUUGUUUAAAAAACAGAAAAAUAGGAAAAGCCUGAAUGUCCAACAGUAAUAAUUGCUUGGAUCAAUUACAGCAUAUCCACCAUGUGCAAUCACAAUAACUAACAGAUACCGAGCUCUUCGCACACGCCUGUCACUUUGCAAACAGCCCUGCGAGGGAGGGGCUGUUACCCCCUUUUUACACAGGAGCAAAGAGAGGCUGACAGAUAGAAUGUGAUUGGCCAUCAGACUCACAACCUCUGGGUGACAUCAUCCAUACAGGGUCCAGCUGGUUCUCAAGCUUCAAAGGCACCUCAGAGGAGUAAAGUGCUGAUACAUGGAACAACACGGGUGAGCCUAGAAGAGUUCACAUUAAGUAAAAGGAGCCAAAAGUCACAUACGAAAUGAUUCCAUUUCUAAAAAAUAUCCAGAAUAGGCAAAUCCAUAGAGACAGCAGAUUUGUGAUUGCCAGGGGCUGGGGGGGAGGCGAGAAUGGGGAAUGAUGGAUAAUGGGUACAGGGUUUCCUUUCCGGAUGAAGUUCUGGAGCUAGAGAGUGCAUGUAUACUUUAAAAUGGUUAAAAUGGUAAAUGUAACAUUACCACCAAAGAGAGAGAGAGAAAUUGAAGAAACACCUUGGGAAUGUAUUGAAAAUAUAGAUUCCAAGACUCAGCACUCAGAGAUCAUGGUCAGAGAUUUAAUAAUAAAUCAUUUCAGGAUGAUGCUA